rfam:Danio rerio chromosome 4, GRCz11 reference primary assembly.
GCCCGGCUACCUCAGUCGGUAGAGCAUGAGACUCUUAAUGUCAGGGUCGUGGGUUCGAGCCCCACAUUGGGCG